rnacentral:rRNA from 1 species
CCUACGGGAGGCAGCAGUGAGGAAUAUUGGUCAAUGGACGAGAGUCUGAACCAGCCAAGUAGCGUGAAGGAUGACUGCCCUAUGGGUUGUAAACUUCUUUUAUAUGGGAAUAAAAUGUUCCACGUGUGGGAUUUUGUAUGUACCAUAUGAAUAAGGAUCGGCUAACUCCGUGCCAUCAGCCGCGGUAAUACGGAGGAUCCGAGCGUUAUCCGGAUUUAUUGGGUUUAAAGGGAGCGUAGGUGGAUUGUUAAGGCAGUUGUGAAAGUUUGCGGCUCAACCGUAAAAUUGCAGUUGAAACUGGCAGUCUUGAGUACAGUAGAGGUGGGCGGAAUUCGUGGUGUAGCGGUGAAAUGCUUAGAUAUCACGAAGAACUCCGAUUGCGAAGGCAGCUCACUGGACUGCAACUGACACUGAGGCUCGAAAGUGUGGGUAUCAAACAGGAUUAGAUACCCCAGUAGUC